rnacentral:rRNA from 1 species
GGCUCCACCAAUAUUUUAUUUACAUGAAGAUAGAGAUAUUUAACAGGCGAUGAAGGACGUGAUAAUCUGCGAUAAGCUUCGGUUAGCUGGUAAAAUGAGCUAUGACCCGGAGAUUUCCGAAUGGGGGAACCCACCUGACACAAGUUGGGUACUCACUCGAUAUGGAGUGUAGAGCGAACGAGGGGAACUGAAACAUCUAAGUACCCUUAGGAAGAGAAAUUCAAUUGAGAUUUCCCGUAGUAGUGGCGAGCGAAGUGGGAAGAGCCUGGUAUGAUUUAGCUGUAAUUAUAGUAGAACAAGUUGGGAAGCUUGACGAUAGAGGGUGAUAGUCCCGUAUACGAAAUAAUGACAGUGGAACUAAGCAUACGAACAAGUAGGACGGGGCACGUGGAACCUUGUCUGAAUAUCCCCCCACCAUCCUCCAAGGCUAAAUACUCCUGAAUGACCGAUAGUGAACUACUACCGUGAGGGAAAGGUGAAAAGAACCCUUAUAAAGGGAGUGAAAUAGAAUCUGAAACCGCUUGCAUACAAGCAGUAGGAGCAUGAUUUAGUCAUGUGACUGCGUACCUUUUGUAUAAUGGGUCAGCGAGUUACUUUUAGUGGCGAGGAUAACUGAAUAAGGGAUCCGUAGCGAAAGCGAGUUUUAAUAGGGCGACUAGUCGCUAGGAGUAGACCCGAAACCGGCGCGAUCUAUCCAUGGCCAGGUUGAAGAUUAGGUAGUACUAAUUGGAGGACCGAACCCAAUACUGUUGCAAAAGUAUGGGAUGAGCUGUGGAUCGGAGUGAAAGGCUAAUCAAGCACGGAGAUAGCUGGUUCUCCCCGAAAACUAUUUAGGUAGUGCCUCGUGUAUAACUCAUUGGGGUAAAGCACUGUUUCGACAAUGGGGGUUUUACGACCUUACUGACUCGAUGCAAACUCAGAAUACGAUGAAGUUCGAUCACGGGAGACACACUGCGGGUGCUAAGGUCCGCAGUGGAAAGGGAAACAGCCCAGACCGCCAGCUAAGGUCCCAAAGUCAUAGCUAAGUGGGAAACGAAGUGGGAAGGCCCAGCCAGCCAGGAGGUUGGCUUAGAAGCAGCCAUCAUUUAAAGAAAGCGUAAUAGCUCACUGGUCGAGUCGGCCUGCGCGGAAGAUGUAACGGGGCUAAGCUAUGCACUGAAGUUGCGGAAUAUAUUUAGUAUAUUGGGUAGGGGAGCGUUCUGUAAGCCGAUGAAGGUGAAUUGAGAAGUUUGCUGGAGGUAUCAGAAGUGCGAAUGCUGACAUGAGUAACGUAAAAUAAGUGAGAUUCUUAUUGGCCGAAACCCCAAGGUUUCCUACGCAAUGUUAAUCAACGUAGGGUAAGCCGGCCCCUAAGGCGUAGCUGAAGAGUGAAGUCGAUGGGAAACAGGUUAAUAUUCCUGUGCCGCUUAUAUGAACGAAGGAGGAACGGAGAAGGUUAGGUAGGCCUGGCGAAUGGUUGUCCAGGUGAAAGUAUGUAGGUAGGAAUGCUAGGCAAAUCCGGUGUUCUGUUGAUCUGAGAUACGAGACGAAGUCAAACUUGUUUGGAAAUUGGAUAACCAUGCAACCCCAGGAAAAGCUUUUUAAGUAUAUUGUAUAAGUGACCGUACUGUAAACCGACACUGGUGGGUAGGUAGAGAAUACUAAGGCUAUGAGAUAACUCUGGUGAAGGAACUAGGCAAAAUGACACCGUAACUUUGGAAGAAGGUGUGCCCUUGAUGGUGAUGAGACUUGCUCUUUGAGCUGUUGGGGGUUGCAGAUACCAGGUGGCUGCGACUGUUUAUCAAAAGCACAGCACUCUGCGAAAUCGUAAGAUGAAGUAUAGGGUGUGACGCCUGCCCGGUGCUGGAAGGUUAAUUGAAGGGGUUAGCGCAAGCGAAGCUCUGGAUCGAAGCCCCAGUAAACGGCGGCCGUAACUAUAAAUGGCCACACUGUCUCCACCAGAGACUCAGUGAAAUUGAAAUCGCUGUGAAGAUGCAGUGUACCCGCGGUUAGACGGACAGACCCCGUGAACCUUUACUAUAGCUUUGCACUGGACUUUGAAUAUUUAUGUGUAGGAUAGGUGGGAGACCAUGAAGCAGCUACGCCAGUAGUUGUGGAGUCGUCCCUUGAAAUACCACCCUUGAAUAUUUGAAGUUUCUAACUCAGGAGAGAUUUCGAGGACAGUGUAUGGUGGGUAGUUUGACUGGGGCGGUCUCCCUCCCUAAAGAGUAACGGAGGAGUACGAAGGUGCAUUCGGUACGGUCGGAAAUCGUGCCAAGAGUAUAAAGGCAAAAGUGCGCAAGACUGCGAGAGUGACGGCUCGAGCAGGUACGAAAGUAGGUCUUAGUGAUCCGGUGGUCCCGAAUGGAAGGGCAUCGCUCAACGGAUAAAAGGUACUCCGGGGAUAACAGGCUGAUUCCUCCCAAGAGUUAUAUCGACGGAGGAGUUUGGCACCUCGAUGUCGGCUCAUCACAUCCUGGGGCUGAAGCAGGUCCCAAGGGUAUGGCUGUUCGCCAUUUAAAGUGGUGCGCGAGCUGGGUUCAGAGCGUCGUGAGAC